AUACGACCGUACCGCAAACCGACACUGGUGCGCGAGAUGAGUAUUCUAAGGCGCUUGAGAGAACUCAGGAGAAGGAACUCGGCAAAUUGACACCGUAACUUCGGAAGAAGGUGUGCCCUAUUAGUGUGUAGUGAACAACGAAGCAUGAAUGGGUUGCAAAAAAUCGGUGGCUGCGACUGUUUAUUAAAAACACAGCACUCUGCAAACACGAAAGUGGACGUAUAGGGUGUGACGCCUGCCCGGUGCUGGAAGAUUAAAUGAUGGGGUGCAAGCUCUUGAUUGAAGUCCCAGUAAACGGCGGCCGUAACUAUAACGGUCCUAAGGUAGCGAAAUUCCUUGUCGGGUAAGUUCCGACCUGCACGAAUGGCGUAACGAUGGCCACACUGUCUCCUCCUGAGACUCAGCGAAGUUGAAAUGUUUGUGAUGAUGCAAUCUCCCCGCGGAAAGACGGAAAGACCCCAUGAACCUUUACUGUAGCUUUGUAUUGGACUUUGAACAGAUCUGUGUAGGAUAGGUGGGAGGCUUUGAAGCAGGGUCGCUAGAUCUUGUGGAGCCAACGUUGAAAUACCACCCUGGUGUGUUUGAGGUUCUAACCUAGGUCCAUUAUCUGGAUCGGGGACAGUGCAUGGUAGGCAGUUUGACUGGGGCGGUCUCCUCCCAAAGCGUAACGGAGGAGUUCGAAGGUACGCUAGUUACGGUCGGACAUCGUGACGAUAUUGCAAUGGCAUAAGCGUGCUUAACUGCGAGACUGACAAGUCGAGCAGAUGCGAAAGCAGGACAUAGUGAUCCGGUGGUUCUGUAUGGAAGGGCCAUCGCUCAACGGAUAAAAGGUACUCUGGGGAUAACAGGCUGAUACCGCCCAAGAGUUCAUAUCGACGGCGGUGUUUGGCACCUCGAUGUCGGCUCAUCUCAUCCUGGGGCUGUAGCCGGUCCCAAGGGUAUGGCUGUUCGCCAUUUAAAGAGGUACGUGAGCUGGGUUUAAAACGUCGUGAGACAGUUUGGUCCCUAUCUUCCGUGGGCGCUGCAGAUUUGAGGAAGCCUGCUCCUAGUACGAGAGGACCGGAGUGGACACACCUCUGGUGUAUCGGUUGUCACGCCAGUGGCAUUGCCGAGUAGCUAAGUGUGGAAGAGAUAACCGCUGAAAGCAUCUAAGCGGGAAACUCGUUUCAAGAUGAGAUCUGCCGGGGCCUUGAGCCCCCUAAAGAGUCGUUCAAGACCAGGACGUUGAUAGGUCAGGUGUGGAAGCUA
rnacentral:rRNA from 1 species